rnacentral:lncRNA from 1 species
CUCAAUAACCUUUCCUUCCUUGCAAAGUAUAUCAAUCAACAUACUAGACGUAGUCACAUCAGGCCGAAUACCUACAUCCAACAUCUCAUUAAACAAACAUUUAGCCUUCUCCCACUUUCCACUACGACAAAAUCCAUGAAUCAAAGAGGUAUAUGAAAUGACAUCUGGCAUCAUCCCCUGAGCCUUCAUUUCCUUGAAAAGUUCUCUUGCCUCGUCUUCUCGCCUAUCCUUACAAAGUCCAUCAAUAAUUAUACUAUAAGAAAUAAGAGUAGGCUUACAUUUAAUCCCAUAUUGACUGGUGUCAUUGAGCAUUUCUUGAUGUAAAUGAAGUGCAAUGUUAAUCUUUCCUGUUUGACAGAGCCCCUUCAUUAAAGUCCCAUAAGCAAUCGCAUCAGGCCUACAACCUAACUUUUUCAUACUCAUAAAUAGCUGUGUAGCUUCACUAAUCCUAUGCUUCAUACACAAGCCCUUAAUCAAGGUACUAUAGGUUACUAUAUCAAGAAUGCAACCUCUAUGAACCAUCACCUCUAGCAACUCGUUAGCCUCGAUAACCUUUCCUUCCUUGCAAAACAUAUCGAUCAACACACCAGACGUAGUCACAUCAGGCUGAAUACCUACAUCCAGCAUCUCAUUAAACAAACAUUUAGCCUUCUCCCACUUUCCACUAUGGCAAAAUCCAUGAAUCAAAGAGGUAUAUGAAAUGACAUCUGGCAUCAUCCCCUGAGCUUUCAUUUCCUUGAAAAGUUCUCUUGCCUCGUCUUCCCGCCUAUCCUUACAAAGUCCAUCAAUAAUGAUACUAUAAGAAAUUAGAGUAGGCUUACAAUUAAUCCCAUAUCGACCGGUGUCAUUGAGCAUUUCUUGAUGUAAUUGAAGUGCAAUGUUAAUAUUCCCUGUUUGACAGAGCCCCUUCAUUAAAGUCCCAUAAGUAAUCGCAUCAGGCCUACAACCUAACUUUUGCAUACU